AUCGCUUCUCGGCCUUUUGGCUAAGAUCAAGUGUAGUAUCUGUUCUUAUCAGUUUAAUAUCUGAUACGUCCCCCAUCCGGGGACUACAUAUUAAAUGGAUUUUUAGAUCACGGAGCUGGAGCUGGAGCCGGGGCUUGCUCCGUCCACUCCAUGCAUCGGCCUGGUAUUGCAGUGUCUCCAGGAACGGUGUGCUUUCC